UGCUUAAUUUCUAAAAAGAAAUUGUAAGCACCUUUUUCUUCAGCUCUAGUUUUACUUUUCCCCCCUUAUGUCUAAUCGUGUCCAAUUACUUUAGAGAACUGAGGAAUAUUAAUGAUUAAUAGUCUUUCAGAGAAACACAGCUUGUAAUACAUCAUUAGGAGCCAGAGAUCAGAGCUCUUGAAUUAGAAGGAGAAGAUAUGGAAGAAUAUAUUAGUGCUCCAUACAAUUAAUUUAUACCAGUCAAAAAUCAACUCCUUUUAGAAUUAGAAUGCCUGCUCUGCAAUGAAAACAUAUUUGCAGGAAAGUUGCACGGUUCUUUACAGGAUUCCUUCCAAAGUAUGAGAGAUGAAUUAAUAUGCAUUAAACAAUUGACUAGAAACCCAUCUUUGUUCUACUUUUGGAGUGGGGGCUGGGGAAGAUAGACAUUCACAAUAAGGAAGGCAGAAUUAUGAACAGGUGAGUAUCAGGUUAAGGAAGGCAAUUGAGAUGUAAAGGAUUGGUUGUGUAGUGGGAUGAACCACCUGACCUUUAUUUGAAUUGAUCUAACUCAAUCAUCUCUAUUUUAGAACUGAUUUGAUCUGCUAUUUCAAGGCAACAAGGUUGAAGAUACACAGACCAUUUGCUUUUUUACAGGUACACAGAACUCCUUCAUUUUCAGAACAGGAACAGAAAUAUUUGAAUGAAUGAAGCUGUCUUUGCAUCUGAUCAGUGCUAAAGGAGAUGUUAAAUUUAUUCCCCAAAAAAAUUCCUAGAGGCUUUUCACUGAAGCACUUUAUUACAUCAUUAAGAUUUUUAUUUGUUUUUUGACAAAGUUAAGGUGAGAAUUUGUUUUACUUAUUUAUACAUACUUAUAAUAGGUUUUGGUUUUCUUGCUUUUUUAAUAGGGUAGAAGAGAUGAUAGGGAUGGAAUUUUGAAGCCUAAAAUAAAAUAAAAAUGAUUUAAAAAAAAAAAAGAUGGCACUAAUAAAUUUUUACUGUGCUUGCUAAGUAUUUUCUCUAACCUCACUUAAAGCUUUUUGGUAUUUCAGCUCUCAAGUCUGCAUAUUACUUGAUUUGAAACCUAGUUGAAAAGAUAAAGUGCUAUGGCAUUUUUUUUGGUCAUGAAAAUUGGAUAUAGGCUUCAA